rnacentral:lncRNA from 1 species
UAGACAUAAUUAACUUUACUAAUUAGUAUUUGAGACAUUGGGCAUUUUUGUUUGAGUUUUAAUACCUAGAAAAGAAUUGUUAUUUUGAAUUAGGCCAGAGAGGAGGCCCAGAUUCAUUGGGCCUGUCUAAAUUAUAAAGGUAAAAUACAAUUUUAUCCUUUUGUUUUAAAAUCAUAUUUCGGCACCUCUCUCUCUCUCUCUCUCUCUCUCUCUCUCUCUCUCUCUCUCUCUCUCUCUCUCCUCUUCCUUAUUCACUCCAGCGAUGACGACGCCCUCUUCUCUCCAUCGACGAUACGACGCCCUCUCUUUCUCCUCAUCCUUCUUUGCUCAAUCAACUACGACGACACCCGCUUUCUCUCCUCUUCCUUAUUUGCUCCAUCAACAACGACACCCUCUCUCUCAUC